rnacentral:rRNA from 1 species
UACGUAGGGUCCGAGCGUUGUCCGGAUUUAUUGGGCGUAAAGAGCUCGUAGGCGGUCUGUCGCGUCGGUCGUGAAAACUUGGGGCUUAACCCUGAGCUUGCGGUCGAUACGGGCAUGACUGGAGUUCGGCAGGGGAGACUGGAAUUCCUGGUGUAGCGGUGAAAUGCGCAGAUAUCAGGAGGAACACCGGUGGCGAAGGCGGGUCUCUGGGCCGAUACUGACGCUGAGGAGCGAAAGCGUGGGGAGCGAACAGG